GCAAGUCGAGCGGGGACGAGUGCGACGGAGCGGAAGUUUUCGGAUGGAAGUGAAGAUGUAUGUUCUAGCGGCGGACGGGUGAGUAACGCGUGAGCAACCUGUCCUUCACAGGGGAUAACACAGCGAAAGUUGUACUAAUACCGCAUAAGACCACAGUGAGACAUCUCACAGGGGUCAAAGGAGCAAUCCGGUAGAAGGUGGGCUCGCGUCCCAUUAGAUAGUUGGUGAGGUAACGGCUCACCAAGUCGACGAUGGGUAGCCGACCUGAGAGGGUGAUCGGCCACAUUGGAACUGAGAUACGGUCCAGACUCCUACGGGAGGCAGCAGUGGGGAAUAUUGGGCAAUGGGCGCAAGCCUGACCCAGCAACGCCGCGUGAGGGAAGAAGGUCUUCGGAUCGUAAACCUCUGUCCUUGGUGAAGAGGAAGAGACGGUAGCCAAGGAGGAAGCCCGGCUAACUACGUGCC
rnacentral:rRNA from 1 species